AUUAAAUGAACCAAUGCCCUUGACUUCUUAAAAGAGGUGAAGGGAAUUAAUCACAGUAAGUUCUCUGAACAUAAAAAUUAACUAAGUUUAUAGUGCUGGAACUGAUGUGUGUGCGAUAACAGUACAUUAUAUUUGAAAGGAUGACCAGAAGACAGCAGCAGGAAUUAAACUAAAGCCAAGAAACUGAGCACAGCUCCUUGGACAAAUCUUAAUCUUGGCUGAUGCCAUAUCUGGUGGGGGUGAGCUGAAGUGUACUUCACUGUGCAUAGAGAGAGAAACCUGCUUUUGAAACUCCUUCCAGAAGCAUACUAUCUUUUCGUAAGUGGGAAAUGUCUUGUGUUUUGCCUUGUGUUUCUUGUUUGAUGGCAUGCCUGGGUCUUCUUUCUUAUUUUUACCUUGUCUGCAGAUUUUUCCACCACAAAGAGAGCUCCCAGAUGAUUAUGCACUCUUCUGCCCAGUGAACAAAAGGAAGCAUAAUCUGGACUAACUACAGAAGGACAUGUUUGCUUCUCCUGCCAUGGCUGGAAGUUUCCUGAGGCCUCCCCAGCCAUCCUGAACUGUGAGUCAAUUAAACCUCUUUCCUUUAUAAAUUACCUA
rnacentral:lncRNA from 10 species